GUGAGGAAUUUUCCGCAAUGGGCGAAAGCCUGACGGAGCAAUGCCGCGUGAAGGAUGAAGGCCUAUGGGUUGUAAACUUCUUUUCUCAGAAAAGAAUUAUGACGGUAUCUGAGGAAUAAGCAUCGGCUAACUCUGUGCCAGCAGCCGCGGUAAGACAGAGGAUGCAAGCGUUAUCCGGAAUGAUUGGGCGUAAAGCGUCUGUAGGUUGUUUAAAAAGUAUUCUGUCAAAGAUUAGGGCUUAACCCUAGAUAGGCAGAAUAAACUUUUAAGCUAGAGUUUGGUAGAGGCAGAGGGAAUUCCCGAUGGAGCGGUGAAAUGCGUAGAUAUCGGGAGGAACACCAAAGGCGAAGGCACUCUGCUGGGCCAAUACUAACACUGAGAGACGAAAGCGAGGGGAGCAAAUGGGAUUAGAAACCCCGGUAGUCC
rnacentral:rRNA from 1 species